rnacentral:rRNA from 1 species
GACGAACGCUGGCGGCGUGCCUCACACAUGCAAGUCGAACGGGGAUAUAUUGAAAGCUUGCUUUUGAUAUAUCCUAGUGGCGAACGGGUGAGUAACACGUGAGCAACCUGCCCGACAAACCGGGAUAACAGCGGGAAACUGCUGCUAAUACCGGAUACACCAGGUAUGGCGCAUGCUGUAUCUGGGAAAGGGUUUACCGAUGUCGGAUGGGCUCGCGUCCCAUUAGCUAGUUGGUGAGGUAACGGCUCACCAAGGCGACGAUGGGUAGCUGGUCUGAGAGGACGAUCAGCCACACUGGAACUGAGACACGGUCCAGACUCCUACGGGAGGCAGCAGUGGGGAAUCUUGCACAAUGGGCGAAAGCCUGAUGCAGCGACGCCGCGUGGAGGAUGAAGGCCUUCGGGUCGUAAACUCCUGUCUGGGGGGAUGAACACUGACAGUACCCCCGGAGGAAGCCCCGGCUAACUACGUG